UCUAUAAAUAAUAUAUCUCAUGAAAUAAAAUACAUAUAAUAAAAUUUAAAUUAAAAAUAAUAUGAUAUCAUUUACUGAAUACAUUUUAAAGUGAAUAUAAUAAUCUCUAAUUUAACCUACAAGUAUUUUUAACCUAUAAGUAUAUGAAGUACAUAAAUAUCAUUACGAAUAAACUUUCUACGCGAUCUAUAUAGUAAUUUCCAUGACUCGAAGAAACAACAAGCGAAGACAUUUACUGUCAUGAUGCUGUAAUUCUCUUACGAGAACGGAAUGGCAACUUUCUUGCCACGCCUAAUGUCAAGAGCGCCAUUUUGUGUCCUACACUCUUUGUUCCAUCCAUUCUCUGUACCUGAUGUGUUCACUUACAAAAGGACAAGUUAAACAGUAACUCGAACUCGUGCAAGAUUAAUAUACUUUAAAUUUUCUUUACCGAAAAAUAAUCUUAACACCAAGAAAUUAAAUCUGAAUUAACAGAGAAAUUCGCUAUUAAAAAUUUCUUUAAACAAGAUAUUAUAGAAAA